CUUGUAUUCUGUAUAUUUUAAAAUAUAUAUUUAAAAAUUUUAUUUAAAAAAAAAAUUUGGUGGAUGUUUUUAUGGCAAGAUGCACUGGCAUUAAGAGUCACAUGUACAAAUUAGACAUGUGCAUUCAUCUUCAGCUGUAUUGCAAUUUGCCGAAUUUAGGUCGAUUGGUGGUUUGGCCAAAUUCUGUAUCUCUAAAGAGCUUUACGGACCUUUAUCCAUGCAAACGAUUAGUGCACUGGAUGAGAAUGUUCGUUGGCUUGCGGAUUCAGAGUUCCACCCAUGUUACCAAAAAAAGAAAUGAUUAAUGGGGAAAAAAA